UGCCAGACUCCUACGGGAGGCAGCAGUGGGGAAUAUUGCACAAUGGGGGAAACCCUGAUGCAGCAACGCCGCGUGAAGGGAGACGGUUUUCGGAUUGUAAACUUCUGUUCUUAGUGAAGAAUAAUGACGGUAGCUAAGGAGCAAGCCACGGCUAACUACGUGCCAGCAGCCGCGGUAAUACGUAGGUGGCAAGCGUUGUCCGGAAUUACUGGGUGUAAAGGGAGCGUAGGCGGGCGAGAAAGUUGAAUGUUAAAUCUACCGGCUUAACUGGUAGCUGCGUUCAAAACUUCUUGUCUUGAGUGAAGUAGAGGCAGGCGGAAUUCCUAGUGUAGCGGUGAAAUGCGUAGAUAUUAGGAGGAACACCAGUGGCGAAGGCGGCCUGCUGGGCUUUAACUGACGCUGAGGCUCGAAAGCGUGGGGAGCAAACAGGAUUAGAUACCCGGGUAUC
rnacentral:rRNA from 1 species